UACGAAGGAUGCAAGCGUUAUCCGGAAUUAUUGGGUUUAAAGGGUGCGUAGGUGGGCAGGUAAGUCAGUGGUGAAAUCUCCGAGCUUAACUCGGAAACUGCCAUUGAUACUAUCUGUCUUGAAUUAUCUGGAGGUGAGCGGAAUAUGUCAUGUAGCGGUGAAAUGCUUAGAUAUGACAUAGAACACCAAUUGCGAAGGCAGCUCACUACGGAUAUAUUGACACUGAGGCACGAAAGCGUGGGGAUCAAACAGG
rnacentral:rRNA from 1 species